GACGAACGCUGGCGGCGUGCCUAAUACAUGCAAGUAGGACGCAGUUGCGAACGGGUGAGUAACGCGUAGGUAACUACCUAUUAGAGGGGGAUAACUAUUGGAAACGAUAGCUAAUACCGCAUACUAGUAGAUGGACCUGCGUUGUAUUAGCUAGUAGGUAGGGUAAUGGCCUACCUAGGUAACGUUAAAUAGCCGCCCGGGAAGGGGGAGAGGGCACACUGGUACUGGGUAACGGCCCAGACUCAUAAGGGAGGCAAGAGUAGGGAAUCUUCGGGAAAGGGGGGAACCCUGAACGAGCAAAGGCGCGUGAGUGAAGAAGGGUUUCGGAGCGGAAAGCUCUGUUGUGAAGGAAGCGGUACUUAACCAGAAAGGGACGGCUAACUACGUGCCAGCAGCCGCGGUAAUUC
rnacentral:rRNA from 1 species